rnacentral:misc_RNA from 1 species
AACGCACCUUGCGCUCCUUGGUAUUCCGAGGAGCAUGCCUGUUUGAGUGUCGUGAAAUUCUCAACUUACCUGGCUUUUACAAGUCGGUUAGGCUUGGAUUAUGGAGGUUGCUGGCUUCCCCGAAAUCAGCUCCUCUUAAAUGUAUUAGCAAAGUCUUCGCUGAUCAUCUUUGGUAUGAUAAUUAUCUAUACCAUCGACAAUCAGCUUUCCAUUAUGGAAGGGUUUUGCUUCUAAUCGUCUGCAAAGACAAUUUUGACAAUUUGACCUCAAAUCAGGUAGGACUACCCGCUGAACUUAA